GGCUCAGAUUGAACGCUGCGGGAAUGCUUUACACAUGCAAGUCGAGCGGCAGCGCGGGGCAACCUGGCGGCGAGCGGCGAACGGGUGAGUAAUAUAUCGGAACGUAUCCUUGAGUGGGGGACAACUAGUCGAAAGACUAGCUAAUACCGCAUACGCUCGGGAGAGGAAAGUGGGGGACCGCAAGGCCUCACGCUGAAGGAGCGGCCGAUAUCAGAUUAGCUAGAUGGUGAGGUAAAGGCUUACCAUGGCGACGAUCUGUAGCUGGUCUGAGAGGAUGAUCAGCCACACUGGGACUGAGGCACGGCCCAGACUCCUACGGGAGGCAGCAGUGGGGAAUUUUGGACAAUGGGGGCAACCCUGAUCCAGCCAUUCCGCGUGAGUGAAGAAGGCCUUCGGGUUGUAAAGCUCUUUUGUUCGGGACGAAACGGUUAAGGCUAAUAACCUUGACUAAUGACGGUACCGGAAGAAUAAGCACCGGCUAACUACGUGCCAGCAGCCGCGGUAAUACGUAGGGUGCGAGCGUUAAUCGGAAUUACUGGGCGUAAAGCGUGCGCAGGCGGUUAUGUAAGCCAGAUGUGAAAUCCCCGGGCUCAACCUGGGAAUGGCAUUUGGGACUGCAUGGCUAGAGUAUGGCAGAGGAGACUAGAAUUCCUGGUGUAGCAGUGAAAUGCGUAGAUAUCAGGAGGAAUACCGAUGGCGAAGGCAGGUCUCUGGGUCAAUACUGACGCUCAUGCACGAAAGCGUGGGGAGCAAACAGGAUUAGAUACCCUGGUAGUCCACGCCCUAAACGAUGUCGACUGGUUGUUGGGAGAUUUAUUCUCUUAGUAACGAAGCUAACGCGUGAAGUCGACCGCCUGGGGAG
rnacentral:rRNA from 1 species